AAUGAUGGGUUUAUUAUUUGUGCUGAAUAACCUAUGAAAAUGUGACUAUUUUAGUCAUAUAAUUUGGUAUUUUUGAUGGGUUUGUUGGUCUAUAUGAUUAAAUAGAUGCAGGUAUUAGUUGACUCUAUUUAUUUGCCUUUUUGGGAUAAAAUCACUAAGUCAGAGGAUGAGGAGCUACUGGAUUCUUUUUGGAAGAUUUAUUCAAAGGUUUUGAAGAAUAGAGAGGAUCAUGAGAUUUUAUUUUGUUGGAUUUGAUUUGAUUGUAAAUAUAUUUUUUCAGUUUCCUUUGAAANNNNN
rnacentral:lncRNA from 1 species